GCCUCUGUAGCUCAAUGCAUGUUCUUCCUGUCCCUGGUUGAAAGCUCUGUAUCUAACAGUCAGCAGGGUAGAGCGCGUCACUAGUACCUUGAAAUGCCAUGACGAGGCUGCCGGUUCGAUUCCGUCCAGAGGUCA